GUCUAGUGACGGUGGCUGCCGCGAGCGGGCGGACGCUCGCAACCUCUGAUGGAGGGGGGCUCAAGUUCACGGCUGCGGACGGGGAUGCGGGGGAUGCAGGGACCCGGGAGGCCAGGGAACCUGGCCAGUUGUUUUGGGCCAGGGGUGCGGGCGAGGGGUGGUUGUUGUUUCCCCACUUGUGGGGCCCGAAGUCAUCCACCGGCGGCCGCCACCGCGCGGGGCUGGAGGCUGAGAAUCCAAGUACGCUGCCACCCCCCCGCACUUCCGGGGGGGCGGGAAUACCGCCCUUAAGGUGGCUCUGUGAAGUCCCAGGUGGGGGCGAGCCUAAGGGGACUUAAGUUUAGGGGCGGUCUCCCGAGAGUCGGCCCCCCACGUUGAGAACACUCCGAAGUUUGCAUCUCGGUCAAGUUCAGGAGCGACGGUCCGCGGGGUCGUCUGGCUGCUCGUAGAAGCCGAGAGAUUUGUAUUGCCCGAAACUGGACGCUCAGCUGAGUCUCCGUUGCACCCCACUUCAUCCUCCGGGACCGUGGGGGAAAGGGCGCGGGGGUUCACAGCUUUGCCUCGGAGGGGCAGUUUUUAUAGUGGGCGCAAUUGGUGGGUAACAGGGUCCAGAUGGGAACAAGCGUGUAGGCGAUCCGAAACUCGGGGAACCCCGGUGUUA
rnacentral:lncRNA from 1 species